rnacentral:rRNA from 1 species
UCUUCGAAGGGUAUGAUACUGGCUCAGAACGAACGCUGGCAGCGUGCCUUACACAUGCAAGUCGAGCGCGAAAUCCCGCUUCGGCGGGAGAGUAGAGCGGCAAAAGGGUGAGUAACGCGUGGGUAAGCUGCCCUCGGGAGCGGGAUAACGGCGGCCGCCUUGUGCGGCCCUUCGGCGAAAGCGCCGCUAAUACCGCAUGCAGAUGCAGCCGCACCUUCUUACUCGUAAGCAGGUAGCGGCCGUGUUGAAAGGGUCGUUGGACUUCGGUCCUUCGUCUGCCCGAGGAGGUGCCCGCGUCCUAUUAGCUUGUUGGUGAGGUAACGGCUCACCAAGGCGAUGAUGGGUAGCCGGCGUGAGAGCGUGACCGGCCACACUGGGACUGAGACACUGCCCAGAGCCCUACGGGGUGCUGCAGUGGGGAAUCUUGCCCAAUGGGCGAAAGCCUGAGGCAGCGACGCUGCGUGGGGGAAGAAGGCCUUCGGGUUGUAAACCCCUGUCAGGGGUUAAGAAACCCGUGUGGAGAAAUCCGCACGGCUGACAAAGGCCCCAAAGGAAGCCAUGGCUAACUCCGUGCCAGCAGCCGCGGUAAUACGGAGAUGGCAAGCGUUGUUCGGAAUCACUGGGCGUAAAGCGCGCGUAGGCGGUCGGGUAAGUCGGAUGUGGAAGCGUCCGGCUCAACUGGACAAUGACGUCCGAAACUGCCCGACUGGAGCACGGUAGGGGAGAGUGGAACUCCUGGUGGAGCGGUGAAAUGCGUAGAUAUCAGGAGGAACGCCGGCGGCGAAGGCGACUCUCUGGGCCGUUGCUGACGCUGAGGCGCGAAAGCCAGGGGAGCGAACGGGAUUAGAUACCCCGGUAGUCCUGGCCGUAAACGAUGGGCACUUGGUAGUGGGGGUAACUUCACUGCCGGAGCUAACGCGUUAAGUGCCCCGCCUGGGUAGUACGGCCGCAAGGCUAAAACUCAAAGUAAUUGACGGGGCCUCGCACAAGCGGUGGAGCACGCGCCUUAAUUCGAGGCAACGCGAGGAACCUUACCAGGGCUUGACAUGCAAGGGUAAGGACCCUGGGUCAGCCAGGGGGCCUGCACAGGUGUUGCAUGGCUGUCGUCAGCUCGUGUCGUGAGAUGUUGGGUUAAGUCCCAUAACGAGCGAAACCCUCGUCCUUAGUUGCUAACGGGUCAUGCCGAGGACUCUAAGGAGACUGCCGGUGCCAAACCGGAGGAAGGUGGGGAUGACGUCAAGUCAUCAUGACCCUUAUGCCCUGGGCGGGACGCAUGCUACAAUGGCCGGCACAAAGGGAAGCGAAACCGCAAGGUGGAGCGAAGCUCUAAAAGCCGGUCCCAGUUGGGAUCGGGGGCUGCAAUUCGCCCCCGUGAACGAGGAAUCGCUAGUAAUCGCGGAUCAGCCACGCCGCGGUGAAUGUGUGCCCGAGGCUUGUACACACCGCCCGUCAAAUCACGGGAGCUGGGAGCACGCUAAGUCGUGGGUCUAACCCGCCUUCGGGCGGGAGGGCCGCGCCCACCGUGAACCCGGCAACUGGGAUUAAGUCGUAACAAGGUAGCCGUAGGAGAACCUGCGGCUGGAUCACCUCCUUU